UACAAAGCACUGUGGCCACCUAGUGAAGCAAUGCUAGGCCUACAGCAGGAGGGGAGGGAAAAGGCGGGUGCUCAUUGUCACAGGACCUGGUGGCCUACAUCUUGUAAACCAGCAAACAUUUGCCGACUAGCUGCAGACCAGCCCACACCACCCUCCGCUAUAACUGCCAGCAGAGUACUGGGAGACAGCAAUAGAAGAGGAGAAGGAUGGUGCUUGUUCACUGGAAGGUGAGGAGGCCUCUAUUCUGGUGGCGGAGUUCGUAUAGGGAGAGGGGAUCCAAAUGUGGCAAAGGCGAACAGGAGGCAGCAGCGGUGACGGUGGAGGGGGACAAAUGAGACAAGGGGAGAAGCCAUUUCCACUACUGCCACAGAGAACCUGAGUGGCCUUGUGAGGCAGGAGGACUGCUGAGGUUGCAGUGCUGGCAAUCUUGGACCGCUUGUGUGGCAGUCCUAAGCACCCAUUCCCCCAGCAGGUAAGUGAGUUGUGAAUGUGGGUUUGGGGAGAAUGCAUGGCUUGUUGCACUGGUCUGGCGUGGCCUGUACUAGAUUAGUUUAGCCUAGCCUAGUACUGGGCAGAAGCAGAGGGAGUUGCUGUAAGAUGAGCUGGAACCACCGCUCCUAGCUCUCCCCCCCCCCCGAGACUGAUGUUAUUUAUAUACUUGCAGUGUUUUGGCUCUGUUACCCUUCCUUUGCCGCUUGUCUCAGCGGCCUGCCCGGAAACCACAGGAAGCGGGCGAGAGUGGGGCCGUGGGGCGUUUGGGCUCAUGUUGCCAAUCUCUCUUUCCCUUCCCAUGCAGCACCCCGGCUCCUUAGAACCCCCCCUCCCCCAGCCUUUGGGGACUGCUUUCUUCCUCUAUUACAGUCCCUCUCAGUAUCCAUUUCCCCUCCCCUUGCUGGAGGGGAGGGAUCGCAGCUGCACGCACCCCCCUUUCUUUCUACCGAGUUAUUGUAUUGUGGGCUGGGGCCCUUCUAGGGUCUCCCCGCCUCUCUGUCGGUAGCGCACGUUGGCGUAGGGAGACAUACCUCCGCCCUGCCCCCUCCCGUCACAAAGGGGGUGUGAGAGUGGUGGCGGGGAUCGGCCGCUUUGCAGCAGCUGGAGCUGGGGAGUCGCCGCUGUGUUAACGCACUGAGCUGGCUGAACUGAGAAUGCACGUACCGGUACCUGGGAUACCCAGAGUGUGCGUGUAUAUACGCGCGCUCCACUCGGGUUCCUUUGUCUGCCGCUGCUUUCUCCUCCCUCCUCUCCUUUCUUUCCUCCUCCCUUCUUUCCUCUCUCUCCCAGACUAAUUGCUGCUGCAGCUGCAGGUUUGUAAAUACUGGACCAACACAUACAACAUGGCUGACGCUUGCCCUGCUUCUUCACCAGGCUCUUCUCCUCCCUCUGUCUCUGCUGCUUAGUCUCUCCUCCGUUUAGGGUUUUGUUACUCCCCCCUCAUCUCCCAAAAAAAAAAAAAAAAAAAAAAAAAAAAAAAAAAAGAAAAGAAAGAAAAAAAAAAGAAAAAAGAGAGAGGAAAAAGCAAUGCACAAUCCUUAUUUCAUGCAUGGGUAAGUAUCUUCUCUUUGAAAGCUUUUUACAACAAAAUGAAACCUAAAAUCAGAGUGGAAUUGAAAACCUGGCAAGGCUUAGAGGAUGGCAGGGGAGAAUUGGCUGAGCCCUGCUGAGAUGCUGAGAAAGAAGCUUGAUUGGAAUGCUUGUGUCUUUCUUUUUUUGGGGGGAUGAGGGAGGGGGAUGAUGUGUCAAAUUGCUGACAGAGAUGAAGUACUGUGUUACACUUGCAAUAUGAUCUUGCACCAUUUAUUUCAUUUUAGGACAUAGUUCAGUCAGUAUAAGGUAUCAACUCAGCACAGUCAUUCUGAAAAGAUCUGAUUAGAAUAGGCAUGUAGGUAGAGUAGCAUAGUCUUUUGGGGUGAGGUUCUUGACUUUUCCUGUAUCUCCUUGUCAGUAUCUUAAAUAGCUUGCAGAUCAUAGGAGAUAAAACUGGAAUUAACACUUGUUGGGUCUCUUUGCAUUGCUAGUUUUCUGUCACAGGUUACGUUGCCGUAGCGAUAACAAUAGCACAAAUGGAAGCAUUUUUUUUUCCCUGUCAAAGAAAAAACAUUAUGAACUGAAGUGUGAUACUGAUUGACAGCGUGCUUCUGACCUGUCCUAACACAAGGCAAAUGUUCAGUUCAGCACCUCCAACCACAGUUACUCAGAACACCCUUCGAUGAAAAUACCCUAUAAAAAAAAAAAAAAAAAAAAAG